GGGAAUUUAACCCGCUUAUAACCAGCGUUGACAGAAAUCGGCAUAGGAUUUAACUGAACAAGGGAUACUUAUGCUGUAGAUGGUGCACUGAAAACACUUUUUGGAGUGUUGAUAAAAAAUAGGCAUUGGUUUUCUUAACAACUGGACUGCCUCCUAAUAUCAAAAAGACAGAAGAGAAGAACAUGUAGUGUGCAAGAAGAAUUGUCAAUUUCCAUAAAUUUCACAUCAUGACUGAAA